rnacentral:rRNA from 1 species
AUGGUUGCAUUUUCUCAGUUUCCCCUUGCCAUCGGCCGCAGCGGUGAGCAUAGGGGCAGCGGUCGCGGUCGCUCGAGGAGCACAACCGCACGGGGGCUGGUCCUGCCACUGCGGAGCAGAGCGGAGGAGGUCGAUGCAGGGUCGAGGAGGGGCACGGGCGAGGGUCAUGCCGCAUGGGGGCUCGUGGUGUCUAGAGAGCAAUGGAAGAAACGGAAGGAUGAUAUUUUGGGUGUGUGCACAUGUAUAGCACUAGCUUUUUCAGAUGAUUGUGAAGCUUAUGGAAGAGGCAUAUCUGAAUGCUUGCUUUGA